rnacentral:rRNA from 1 species
UACAGAGGGUGCGAGCGUUGUCCGGAAUUACUGGGCGUAAAGGGCGCGUAGGCGGCUUGGUAAGUCGGGGGGUGAAAGUCAGCGGCUCAACCGCUGGACUGCCUUCGAGACUGCCUGGCUUGAGCAUGGUAGAGGCUGGCGGAAUUCCCGGUGUAGCGGUGGAAUGCGUAGAGAUCGGGGAAGAACAUCGGUGGCGAAGGCGGCCAGCUGGGCCAUUGCUGACGCUGAUGCGCGACAGCGUGGGGAGCAAACAGG